rnacentral:rRNA from 1 species
AUUGAACGCUGGCGGAAUGCUUUACACAUGCAAGUCGAACGGCAGCACGGGUGCUUGCACCUGGUGGCGAGUGGCGAACGGGUGAGUAAUAUAUCGGAACGUAUCCAAUAAUGGGGGAUAACUAGCCGAAAGGUUAGCUAAUACCGCAUACGCCCUGAGGGGGAAAGCUGGGGAUCGUAAGACCUAGCGUUGAUGGAGCGGCCGAUAUCUGAUUAGCUAGUUGGUGGGGUAAGAGCCUACCAAGGCGACGAUCAGUAGCUGGUCUGAGAGGACGACCAGGCACACUGGAACUGAGACACGGUCCAGACUCCUACGGGAGGCAGCAGUGGGGAAUUUUGGACAAUGGGGGCAACCCUGAUCCAGCAAGUCCGCGUGAGUGAAGAAGGCCUUCGGGUUGUAAAGCUCUUUCGCAAGGGAAGAAAACUCGAUCUCUAAUAUAGGUUGAGGCUGACGGUACCUUGAUAAGAAGCACCGGCUAACUACGUGCCAGCCGCCGCAGUAA